rnacentral:rRNA from 1 species
UACGUAGGGGGCAAGCGUUAUCCGGAUUUACUGGGCGUAAAGCGCGUGUAGGUGGUUGCGCAAGUUGGUUGUGAAAUCUCCCGGCUCAACCGGGAAACUGCAGCCAAUACUGCGUGGCUAGAGUGGCAGAGAGGAAAGUGGAAUUCCCGGUGUAGUAGUGAAAUGCGUAGAUAUCGGGAGGAACACCAGCGGCGAAGGCGACUUCUGGCUGCCAACUGACACUGAGACGCGAAAGCUAGGGGAGCGAACGGG